CUAAAGCUAACAGGCAAAAGAAACAGAGCUGAGGAAAGAUUAUCUCUGCUUGCAGGAGUUCAUUUGACCCCAGUGUCCCCUGAUUAUUCUCAUUCCAGGCCCUGAGUGGCAGAGCCUGCUGGGCCUGUGUGGAAUAUGAUCUUUCAGCAUGUGGCAAAUUGCAAUUCUACAGAUGGUUUUAAAGAAAAAAAUAAUAACAAUUGUUAUGUUUUAAUUUUUAUUCUCUCAGUGUGUAACGGACGUGAAGAUCAUUUUGUCGUAUGUGACCUUGUUCAUAAUAACAUCUUCUUCUUCAUUAAUAAUUAAGAUUUGAUUCUUUCA